CCUUCUUCUGCCCCAGAGGCCGCUUCGCAGGGAAAGUUACAUAACACGCCUGCAAAGCCUUCUGGGAAACGUAGUCCCGCCGGGGCCGGCUCUUAAAGGGAACGGCGGGCAGACGCGGGCUGGGGGGGUUGUCGCCUCUGCCGGCGCAAACCUUACAACCUUCUCCGUGGGGCCGGAGUUCAGCGCGCCGCAAGAUGCUGGGACACAAAGGUGGUAGGCGAGGAUGCAAUACAAAUGAUCAGAGCUACUCCGGAUUCAGAAAUUGUGGGGGUGGGUGGACAGGCUUCCGGGCUUCCAACUUCUGCUCGGAUUUGCUGUGCAGCUUUAGGCAAAAUGUCUUGCCCUCUCUGAACCUCAGUUUCCCCGCCCAGCAAAGAUGAGGACACUGGAAGCCAAUGGUUACACAGUUGGCCAGGGCAGCACCAGUACUUGAGCCACGUCUUGAGUCCAGAGUGGUGGUGAUUAUCUACUUUGUUACCUGGCCCUGCAGCAGAGUAAAAGAACCAGUUCCUGCCUUCAUGACAUUAUGGGCAAAUGUGCCUUAAAUAGAUAAAGGCCUGUGUUCAUUUAGAGUCACUAUGAAAAAGAACCCAGCUGUGUGUGGUGGCUCAUGCUUGUAAUCCUAGCACUUUGGGAGGCCGAGGUGGGAGGACUGCCUGAGCCCAUGAGUUCCAGAUCAGCCUGGACAUCAUAGAAAACCCCAUCUCUAGAAAAAUAAAACAAUUAGCUGAG
rnacentral:lncRNA from 10 species